GUGGGGAAUCUUAGACAAUGGGGGAAACCCUGAUCUAGCCAUGCCGCGUGAGUGAUGAAGGCCUUAGGGUUGUAAAGCUCUUUCAGCUGGGAAGAUAAUGACUGUACCAGCAGAAGAAGCCCCGGCUAACUCCGUGCCAGCAGCCGCGGUAAUACGGAGGGGGCUAGCGUUGUUCGGAAUUACUGGGCGUAAAGCGCACGUAGGCGGACCGGAAAGUCAGAGGUGAAAUCCCAGGGCUCAACCUUGGAACUGCCUUUGAAACUCCUGGUCUUGAGGUCGAGAGAGGUGAGUGGAAUUCCGAGUGUAGAGGCGAAAUUCGUAGAUAUUCGGAGGAACACCAGUGGCGAAGGCGGCUCACUGGCUCGAUACUGACGCUGAGGUGCGAAAGCGUGGGGAGCAAACAGGAUUAGAUACCCCGGUAGUCC
rnacentral:rRNA from 1 species